rnacentral:rRNA from 1 species
CAUUAUUGAAUAAAAAUGUGAACAGGCUGUUGCUGGCUCUCCCUUGGGGGAUGCAUGUGCACGCUUGUCAUCUUUAUUUCUUCAACUGUGCACAUAUUGUAGACCUGAGAGAGGCCUCUUCGAAUUGUUUUCGAGUUGGGGGACUGCUGUGCUUUUAAUUUUGAGAGUCGGCUUUCCCUUGUAUUUUUCAGGUCUAUGUCAUUUUUACAAACCAUUGAAAUCUGUUUAGAAUGUCGAAUCAGGUCCUUUAUUGUACCUAUAAAGUUAAAUAUACAACUUUCAGCAACGGAUCUCUUGGCUCUCGCAUCGAUGAAGAACGCAGCGAAAUGCGAUAAGUAAUGUGAAUUGCAGAAUUCAGUGAAUCAUCGAAUCUUUGAACGCAUCUUGCGCUCCUUGGUAUUCCGAGGAGCAUGCCUGUUUGAGUGUCAUCUAAGCUCUCAAACCACAUUGUUCAUCAACAUAUGUGGCUUGGAUGUGGGGGAUUGUUUUUUUUUGCGGGCUUUAGAUAAUGAAGUCUGCUCCCCUGAAAUGCAUUAGUGGUAUCUGAGCAGCUACUACAGGUGUGAUAAUAAUAUAUCUAUGCCUUGGUAAAUAUGCUGCAUGAAACAGAUUGCGCUGCUUCUAACAUGAAUUUAUUAUUAUUUUGGAGACCUCAAAUCAGGUAGGACUACCCGCUGAACUUAA